rnacentral:snoRNA from 1 species
AGUCCAUGAUGAGGGACCUUCCUCAAUAAUUCCUUGUAGCGCUCCCAUGUCUCAUAUAAUGAUUCAUCGUCCUUUCCUUGAAAGAGAAAGGAAAUAAUUUGAGUCU